GCAUGUGUAGUUCAAACAUAACAAUUGUGAGACUGCGGAAGGCUCAGUAUAUCAGUUAUAAUCUAUUUGAUUGUCUUGCCCAAUGGAUAACCGUGGGAAAUCUAGAGCUAAUACAUGCAGUACAUUGAGUGGUGUAACAGCCGCUUAAAGCAUUUAUUAGAUCAAAACCAGCUAUGGUAGUGGGGUCUAACCCCUCCACUAUUGUAAGGUGAAUCUGGAUAACUUUGCUGAUCGUAUGGCCUUGUGCCGGCGACGUUUCAAUUGAAUUUCUGCCCUAUCAACUUGUUGGUAAGGUAGUGGCUUACCAAGGUUACAACGGGUAACGGGGAAUCAGGGUUCGAUUCCGGAGAGGGAGCCUGAGAAAUGGCUACCACAUCCAAGGGAGGCAGCAGGCGCGCAAAUUACCCAAUCCAAACAAUGGGAGGUGGUGACGAGAAAUACUAGAUGGUUUCCCAAAAGGAUGCCAUACUGGAAUGGACGUAAUUUAAGCAAUUCGAUGAGUAACAACUGGAGGGCAAGUCUGGUGCCAGCAGCCGCGGUAAUUCCAGCUCCAGUAGUGUAUUUUAAUGUUGCUGCGUUUAAAACGCUCGUAGUUGGAUCACUAAGUGUGUGUGGGUAGAUUGGCAGAGCAGUACACUAAAUCCAAUCUAUUGCAGGCUAGCUUUGGUUAAUCCAGGUUACGUCUGUGGUGGGUUGGAGUGCUGCAUGUCGAUUAACAGCCUACAUAUACUAAUUACAGCGUGAGGAUGGUGGUUGACCUUUAGUGCGUUGACCAUUGUGUCUCACGGAGUGUGCCUUGAAUAAAUCAGCGUGCUCAAAGCAGGUUAUAGCUUGAAUGUUAAUAGCAUGGAACGAACAAUUGUGUACAAUGUGUUCUGGUGCCAUACAUGCGUGGGUUUAUAUCUGCGUGUGUUUUGGUGUUGGGAUACAGCACCAACCGCCAAUAACGGAUGUUGGUUUCCGUAUUGGGGUGAUGAUUAAAAGGAGCGGUUGGGGGCAUUGGUAUUUGGCCGCGAGAGGUGAAAUUCUUAGACCGGCCAAGGACUAACAAAUGCGAAGGCAUUUGUCAAGACCGUUUCCAUUAAUCAAGAACGAUAGUGGGAGGUUCGAAGACGAUCAGAUACCGUCCUAGUUCCCACCGUAAACUAUGCCGACCCGGGAUCAGUUUUGAGCUUUUAAAACGCUCGUGGUUGGUCCCCCUGGGAAACCUCAAGUCUUUAGGUUACGGGGGGAGUAUGGUUGCAAGGCUGAAACUUAAAGGAAUUGACGGAAGGGCACCACCAGGGGUGGAGCCUGCGGCUUAAUUUGACUCAACACGGGAAAACUCACCUGGUCCGGACAUCGAAAGGAUAGACAGACUGAUAGAUCUUUCUUGAUACGGUGGUUGGUGGUGCAUGGCCGUUCUUAGUUCGUGGAGUGAUCUGUCAGGUUAAUUCCGGUAACGAACGAGACCAUAGUCUCCAUUUAAGGAGCUAGGGAAACCUAUGUGGACUGGUGUGGGCUAACCACUUGCAUUUGGUUCAUCUAGACGGUAGUGCUGGGCUGCUGUUGGACGCAGAGUGUGACUCUAAUGUGUGUUAAAGCAUGGAGGGGAAGCAUUUUGUUCUGGCAGUUGGUUCACCACUCCCCCUAGCCAGACAGUGUAUGGCACCCGCUGUGCAUUGUGCUAUGGAGAGACAACCUGGUAUAAAAUAUAAAGCAGGAGGAGGAGUGUCGAUAACAGGUCUGUGAUGCCCUUAGAUGUCCAGGGCCGCACGCGCGCUACAAUGACAACAUCAGCGAGUACCUGGGUCGAAAGACUUGGGUAAUCUUAUUAAUUGUUGUCGUGAUGGGGAUUGAUUGUUGUAAUUUUCAGUCAUGAAAGAGGAAUCCCUAGUAUGUGCAAUUCAUUAGAUUGUACAGAUUAAGUCCCUGCCCUUUGUACACACCGCCCGUCGCUACUACCGAGUGAAUGGUGUCAUGAUGCCUUGGGACUGGACGUUUGUUGAGCCUUUACGGGUUCAACCCGACGCCGGGAUCAAUGUAAAAUGGCGCAAUUCG
rnacentral:rRNA from 1 species